rnacentral:rRNA from 1 species
GACGAACGCUGGCGGCGUGCUUAACACAUGCAAGUCGAACGGAAAGGCCCUGCUUUUGUGGGGUGCUCGAGUGGCGAACGGGUGAGUAACACGUGAGUAACCUGCCCUUGACUUUGGGAUAACUUCAGGAAACUGGGGCUAAUACCGGAUAGGAGCUCCUGCUGCAUGGUGGGGGUUGGAAAGUUUCGGCGGUUGGGGAUGGACUCGCGGCUUAUCAGCUUGUUGGUGGGGUAGUGGCUUACCAAGGCUUUGACGGGUAGCCGGCCUGAGAGGGUGACCGGCCACAUUGGGCCUGAGAUACGGCCCAGACUCCUACGGGAGGCAGCAGUGGGGAAUAUUGCACACUGGGCGGAAGCCUGAUGCAGCAACGCCGCGUGCGGGAUGACGGCCUUCGGGUUGUAAACCGCUUUCGCCUGUGACGAAGCGUGAGUGACGGUAAUGGGUAAAGAAGCACCGGCUAACUACGUG